rnacentral:rRNA from 1 species
UAGGGAAUCUUCGGCAAUGGGGGGAACCCUGACCGAGCAACGCCGCGUGAGUGAAGAAGGUUUUCGGAUCGUAAAGCUCUGUUGUUAAGGAAGAACGAGUGUGAGAAUGGAAAGUUCAUGCUGUGACGGUACUUAACCAGCAAGGGACGGCUAACUACGUGCCAGCAGCCGCGGUAAUACGUAGGUCCCGAGCGUUGUCCGGAUUUAUUGGGCGUAAAGCGAGCGCAGGCGGUUAGAAAAGUCUGAAGUGAAAGGCAGUGGCUCAACCAUUGUAGGCUUUGGAAACUGUUUAACGUGAGUACAGAAGGGGAAGGUGGAAUUCCAUGUGUGGCGGUGAAAUGCGUAGAUAUAUGGAGGAACACCGGUGGCGAAAACGGCUCACUGGUCUGUAACUGACGCUGAGGCUCGAAAGCGUGGGGAGCGAACAGG